rnacentral:misc_RNA from 1 species
AACGCACAUUGCGCCCCUUGGUAUUCCGAGGGGCAUGCCUGUUCGAGCGUCAUUAUAACCACUCAAGCCUAGCUUGGUAUUGGGGUUCGCGGUCUCGCGGCCCUUAAAAUCAGUGGCGGUGCCUUCUGGCUCUAAGCGUAGUAAUUUUUCUCGCUACAGGGUCUGGUGGUUACUUGCCAUUAACCCCCUAUUUUCUAAGGUUGACCUCGGAUCAGGUAGGGAUACCCGCUGAACUUAA